UCAAGCGUUGUUCGGAUUCAUUGGGCGUAAAGGGUGCGUAGGUGGCGCUGUAAGUCGGGUGUGAAAUUUCGGAGCUUAACUCCGAAACUGCAUUCGAUACUGCGGUGCUUGAGGACUGGAGAGGAGACUGGAAUUCAUGGUGUAGCAGUGAAAUGCGUAGAGAUCAUGAGGAAGACCAGUGGCGAAGGCGGGUCUCUGGACAGUUCCUGACACUGAGGCACGAAGGCCAGGGGAGCAAACGGG
rnacentral:rRNA from 1 species